UUGCAAAAUGCUUGCACGCACAGGCAAUCUUACACACAUGCGGAAAGAUGUGUGGACGUAUGCACAAAUGUGAGCUUAACACACAUUUAUUGUUUAAAUGCACACAUACAUAUGCACACAGUGGAGACUGUGAGCUAUACAGCUGGGUAUGAUGUUGAAAAUGCAUUUCAGGUGUCAACAGAGCAGAGGGAAAUCAAUGUGUCAUGUUAUUACUCACAUGUAACCAUUCAAAUACUUUUAUGUAGUUGCUUUUUGGAAAAUGUUCUCACAGGGGAAUGGUGCCAUACAAUAGCAUCACCACUUCAUUUCAAAGAGUAACUGCACCUGAAAAAGUAAUUAAUAAGUCUUCACUGUGCAACAGCAUGCAAAAACAUAAAUGAGGCUCUCAUUUAUACAUACAACCGAUACACAGUGAUUUGAAUCACAACAUCAAUUUUUUUUUUUUGCCUUAUUGGGCUAUGUAAACUAUAAAUUGGAUAGCCUCAUAUUGUUAACAAAAGUCAGAAAAACUCAAAGAAAAAAAUCAUAGAAAAUAACCACAAAAGCAGGGUGAGACCAAGUCCAUAUUUAAAUCUCCAGGGGUAAGGAUUUUCAAAUGAUCAAUACAAAAAUCAUAGUUACCCAUAAUUUAUGUUAGCUGUGUGUCUUUUUAGCUAACGUUGAAUUAACAGUAACUUAACCCUUAUAAUGCUACAUUCACUCAUUGUGCCCUGUUUUGGAUUAUUAUUAUAAUUAUUAUUAUUAUUAGUUGACAGGAUUACUAGUAGUUUAAUCCCUCAAAUGCUAGCUUUGUGUCAUGCUAGCUGCAUGUUAGCUGGCAUUUUACAGUAAAGCCCCACCAAUUUUAUGGUAACAUUGGAUUGCUGGUAGCUUAGCCCCGCUAAUGAUGUUAGCUUUAUGCCAUGUUAGUUAGCUGACAUUUCUGGUUGUGUGCUUUAGUUGUAAUUCGAGUCAAAGAUAUUGGGACUUUCUGAUGGCUACAAUAACUCCCAGUAGGCAAAAAGACCACGAACAUGUCAAUAAACCUGUUGUGGCAUAAUGGCCACCAUUGCUGACUGUUAAAGGAAAUCCAGUAUCACUAAUAAAAUUGUUUUAUCCAAUUUAAGAGGAGUUACUGUGUGUCUGUAUCUGAUUUUACUUGCUAAGAAUCCAAUACAAAUAUGUAACUCCAUAGAAAAUUAGUUAUUUAGGCUUUAUUUCCAUUUAAAUGUUGUGCCAAGGCUGGCAAUAAUGUGUGGCACUCCCAUGUUGGUUUUUCCAUUUUUCCGCCCACAUGGUGUGAAUUUAGUAUUAGCCCUGUCAUUGUGUAAUCUUUCUUGAUGUGUAAUCUUGAUCUGCCAGCAGCACCAAUCCACUAGCUGCUUGUCCUGUUAGCUGACAUUUGCAAACUAGCCAAGAAUGUGAAUAAAUCUCUCUCUAAUCCUUGUUAUCACCAGCAGUUCAGCCCAUGAGAGGAAGACACCGACUAAUGUUUUAAAAAACUUUUGAUCUUUCUCUCCCUGGUGCAGCCAUGAAUAAAUCACAAGAAAGUGACAAAGAGGCUGCAGUGGCCAAGAGACACUGAAGGACUGAGGGGGAGGAGGAGGAGGCUCUCAGCUGACUUUCAACUGGCCUGUUGCAAGCGUGGGAAGAAUGGCUGCCAUUGGUACAACACACAGCUGUACAGUUGGCCUGGCGGAUGGUGGAUAAAACAUCAUGGCUGUGCUAGUUUGUGGAUUUAUGUCUUAUGUUUAUUUGUGAAAGAAACUAGGAAUUGCCUUCAUGUGGUAAAUUGAGUCAGUUUAAUUGUUCUUGUGGUGGUGACAUAUUGUCAACAGUCUCUAGCUGUGUUUUAGCUCACUUUCCCGGUAUCUGCAUGUUUCUUAGUCUCUAUUAUGGGAAUAAGAAAUUGCUGUGAUGAAUUGAAGUUGAGCAACACAUACACAAAUAUCUUAA